UACCGACAUGCGUAAUGUAAGUUUCAUUUAUUCAGAUUGGGACCUUUCUUCCUGUUAUUUUGCCGUCAAAACUGAAAAAGAGUGAUGCUAAUUCGCUAAAGGUCAAUGUAGUCAUCAGCAUGUAUGCUCUCAAUCUCCUGGCAGAGUAUUUUCCCUUAAAUGAUGCUACUGUCACAUGAUGCAUAUCAUGGUUCUUUGGCCUUGGAUCAAUUUAUUCUGCAUUUACAUGAUAUAUUGCUUCUAGCCAAUGAAAUUUGAUCCACAUUUGUGUGUGUAUGCAUAUCCUAUACUGGAAACUUGUGCUUUGCCCAUUAUAUGAUUAUACUAGCGGGCAGAGGCGCGGCGGCACGCCGCGCUUGUGAAACAGCCCAUCUAAAUGCUUGUUGUUGGUUUCGCAAGAGAAAAACAAUAACUGCAUAUCAGCUCUCAUUUUUACUUGCAUAUAGUGCUACUUGAAUUGCUUCUAAAAAUAUUUACCUGACAGCAAAGUGUUUUGCUGUAUUCACAUUGCCAAUACUAAAAAUUGAAGACAGUGUAAGCAAAGAUGGAGAAAUUCUCUAGCUCAGACUGCAUCUCUGCUGCCAAUAUUUUUUAGCAAGCAAAUUCUCAAUGGAAAGUCACUGCUUUGUAAAUCUUCUUGGCAUCCUGAAGAUCAAAAUUUCGAAUUAGCUAGAGAGCGCCUUGCUUUCAGUUUAUUCUUGAACUUGUUUGUUUUAUGUUGUGGCACCAUUUACUCCAUGGUAGUUCCCUGUAAGAAUAACUUAAUUUUUCAUUAGACACGGUCCUAAGCUUUUUACAUGAAGCAAAACAUAAUAAAAUAUAAGGUAUGUGUUUGAUCUAACCAGACAGUCCACCAUGACGAAAACCAGUUCAGGUAGUGUUCCUGCUUUUUGUUUUAUGAAUUCUCAUACCCUAGGAAUUCGUCCAAGGACCGUCGGAAGAUCAGAAUUGCGGCUAAUGUCCCUUAAGAGGUGUGUCGUGCAUAUCUAUAGUUUUUUGGCAUGUACAAAAUAUUUGGCAAAUUGCAAAACAAAAAUUACUAUUUUUCCUGAAUGUACAUUUUUUUAUAAAGUUCAAUUGUUGGCAAUUAGAAGCAAUAUAGGCAGACCUUUUUCAGUAUUGUUAAUGAAUUUCCUUGUAACUUGAUUAAAUAAUUCAGGAGUGUAUGCAUUGUGCAAGCUGGGAGAAAAGAGACUCCAGUGCAGCUCCUCUUUCUCUCCAUCUCUCUCUCUCCCUCUCAAGAUUAUUAGGGAAGGAGCGAUGGAUUGGGGUGGGUAGUGCUCUAGAUUAUUCGGUGGCCCUCAGCGGCAGAUCCUUGAAAGAAAGUUAAAAGAAGUCAAUUUUUUUUUGCAUACAACGUGUCAGCCUAGGAGUGAGCACCCACCAGCGCCUCAAAUGCAUGGCAUGGGCUAUAGCUUACCCCUUUAAUUCUUUCAUAUAUUAGAAGUAGACAAAUGCAAAUGUCCAUAGUAAUAAACUUGUGGUCACAAGAUUGCUAGCUUAAAGUUUGCUAGAUUAUGUAAAUGGGUAAUUUUGUUGCAUGCUUUUUAGGUUUCCAUAGUAUGACUCAU
rnacentral:lncRNA from 1 species